CCGACAUAAUGGAAGCGGAUGGAGCCGACGUAUCGUGCAUGUAUUCAAUUGCACAGCGUUGCAAGCUGUUGUUUUGGUAUUCCGCAAGGUUACCGGAUGUCAGUCUUGUUGCGUUUGUGUAGUGCAUUUGCAUGCAGAGUGCGCCGAGUGGGUUGGUGUCGCCGUUGGAAGCUUUUAUAGAGGACCAGGCUUCGGCUUGGAACCCUGUGCUAGCGGAAGAUGGACGAGGCUGGCUUGACAAUUGUAAUGCUGGUGAAUUCGCGGUCUGUGCCUGCGGUUUCGUUUGCUUGUGAGUGACGCAUGCGCUGCUUACUUGUAGAUUGGACCGUUGGUAUUUACUGCCCCGCAUUCAACUCGGUGUUCAGUCGGUCACCCAUUUGACCCGUCUUGAAACACGGACCAAGGAGUUUAAGGUGUACGCAAGUCAUUGGGAUUCAUGAAACUCAAAGGCGUAAUGAAAGUGAGACAUUUAGUGUCUGUGAUGUGAACAGUUUUCGUUUCGACGGUGAUUGUGCAACAUCGCCCUAUGCCUGGGACUUGUCCUGGCGUGGAGGUUGAGCGUACGCUUUGAGACCCGAAAGAUGGUGAACUAUGCCUGAACAGGAUGAAGCCAGAGGAAACUCUGGUGGAAGUCCGAAGCGGUUCUGACGUGCAAAUCGAUCGUCUGAUUUGGGUAUAGGGGCGCAAGACUAAUCGAACCAUCUAGUA
rnacentral:rRNA from 1 species